rnacentral:rRNA from 1 species
CCUACGGGAGGCAGCAGUGGGGAAUAUUGCACAAUGGGGGAAACCCUGAUGCAGCGACGCCGCGUGAGUGAAGAAGUAUCUCGGUAUGUAAAGUUCUAUCAGCAGGGAAGAAAACGACCGUACCUUACCUAGAAGCCCCCGCCAACUACGUUCCAGCAGCCGCGGUAAUACGUAGGGGGGCAGCGUUAUCCGGAUUUACUGGGUGUAAAGGGAGCGUAGACGGCCGGGCAAGGCUGGAGUGAAAUGCCGGGGCGUAACCCCGGAACUGCCUUGGAAACUGUGCGGCUGGAGCGCAGGAGGGGUAAGCGGAAUUCCUGGUGUAGCGGUGAAAUGCGUAGAUAUCAGGAGGAACACCGGUGGCGAAGGCGGCUUACUGGACUGCAACUGACGUUGAGGCUCGAAAGCGUGGGGAGCAAACAGGAUUAGAUACCCCAGUAGUC